CGGAUUCUGUAUCUCCCUCUCUCUCUGUCUUUCCCCUGCGUGCCCUCUGUCUCUGUCUCUCUCUCAAAAAUAAAUAGACACUAAAAAAAUUAAAAAAAAAAAAAAAAAAAGAAACAGUGAUUUCCCAUACUGUCAACAAGGAGAGCAUACUCAUUCAUUAAACAAACAUUAAGUGCCCAUUCUGUGCCAGGAGCCGUUCUCUGUAUGUGGAAUACAUCCAUGGGCCUCAAUGUGGUGGGAUUUACCAUAGUCUUUUAAACCGGAUUGUAAUAUUUACACAUAAUUUAGAAAACGAACUUGAAGGGAGAAAAACGGAAGUCAAGAAUUAAAUUAGUAGACUUUUCUAAAGAUUCAGGCACAAGAUUAUAAGAACCUAAAAGCGAGAACUGGGCAUAGAGAGGAGGGACCAGCUGAGAGAGGUAUCUCAGAAACAGAAUCCAGUUGACAUGGAGAUUAUUAGCUGAUUAUGGGUAAGACAGAAAGUGGUGUUAAAGAUGACUGGCUUUUUCUGAAUGGGAGAUUAUAGAACACUGGUUUAUAAAGGAGCAGAGUCACUUAGAAUGUUUUGACAGUCAACACAGCUUUACACAUAUGUACUGUCCCUCGCCAAAUUUUCUUUUGUAAAAACUCUUUAAUUCAGAAGUGCUUAUGCCCGAGCAGAAACAUCUGAAGAGAAAACUAAACCCUCAAGCCAAGGGGGAAAACUUCAAGAUUAAUUUCCUGUAUUCAUAGCCACCAAAAAUGUUCUGCGCUGAUUCUAAUUGUGUUGCUGAGCUUUUUCAGAGACGGCACAGUGUCCUUGCUUGUCUAAUAAAGUUGGAAGGUAAGUUUUUGUGCAAUGGCACGAUUGGCUCAGCAGCAAAAAGAACUGCACAAUUUCAUCUCCGAUUCUAAGCUAAACAGAGCCGAGAGAUAAUUCCCCUGUGUGUUUAUAAGGAAGAGUUAAAUCCCUCCCAGUGUAAUGUAGCACCAGAUCGAAGUAAACAGACUCUGAUUUCAGUGCUAGACACAGCCUUAAGGCAGAAGAAAUUACACUGUCAUACAGAGGAUAUGUAGCUGCUGCUAUUUUGGUGCCUGAGUUCUUUGUUGUCACAUAGUUGAAGGCAAUCCAGAUGAGGAAGAGUGUUAACCGACAAAAGGAGAAAAUUCCCCGCACAUGGCUAGAGGGAUGUGGGGGAAGAGAAAAGAUGGUACAGUGCCGUCCGAACUCACCAAAAAGGGGUCCAUUCCAGAAGUCGCUGGCUUCAACUUGUCUCCUCAUUCUUCUUGGAAGCAAGCGUUCACAAGGACGAAAUUCAAGCUACAGUUUAAAAACUGUAUUUCAUCAGUUUAUCUGACAUCGUAGAAUCUAAAAAUUACUAUUGUUCCUUUAAUCGGAUUAGCGUCCAGUUGCUUACAAAAUAAGCUUAAGAAAAAAUGGAACACCCACUUCCUUAGGUUUCUUAAGAUCUCUGUUAUUUAAGAAACAGCAUAGUAUUUGCCUCUAUAUAUCUUUAUCUUUAGAUGUAUAUGUACACGUAAGCAGUUACCCUUAAAAAUCAAAGAGCUAUUCUGAGCAGGCUUGGUAUAUAAGUUCUUCCACUCAAAAUGAAAGGAAAAAAAAAAAAAGAAUACAAAAUAGAUUCUGUAUCCCCAACAAUAUGGGGAUUCUGCCAGAUGUUGAGUAUGUCUAUUCCAGUUAUAUGUUCCAGAAAUGGGAGAAGAACUUCAGAUUGGGUUUGGAGAUACACUAUACCCUCUGUAAGACAGACCUAAGCUAAAAUUCCAUUGAUUGCCUCUGCUCUGAUUAUUGGGCCACCAAGAUACUUUUGGCUUCUUAGAAUUCAUUUUAGUUCAGAGCCACAGUCCAGUAAUCUCUGAAAGGCCUCAUAUUUCCUUUUCCACAUUGUACAGUCACCCUGAUAAAAGGCCAGUUGUCUCUUUGGGGAAGACUGGCGGGGGGGGGGGGUGGACAAGAAUAUAAAUGACACAAUGUAGAAUUUUGACUGCAAGGUGAUUAUGAAAGUAUAUUAUAAAAACAUGGGAAACAAAACAAAUCAUCUUUUCCAAAGUAAUUACUAAAAAUAAGACAUGAACCGGGAGAGAAAGAUGGGGGAUAAAUUUGGAAAUCACCCUAGCAUUAGCAUGAUAAGCAAUGCUUCUCUCUGCAAAUAAAAAUGCAAACUCAGUUAUAGAAUACUGAAUUAACUCGAGAUAACAUUAAAUGCAUGAUCCAUGCCGUGUCUAUAGUCUUCAGUCAUGAAGACUUUAUCCUGGUGAUUUAGUUUGCCUUGAGUGAUUACCGGUUUUAGUAAAUGUUGUCUUUCCAGCAGCUCGUCCUCAAUAUGUUCUGAGAACAGCAUCCCAUAUCCUUUUGGGGCACUUCUCCUUCCACAAUAUUUUAAGAUUCUGCUUUACUGUCAGUUUCAGCACUCUACCUCCUGGCCACAAAUAAGACCAAUCAGAAUCCUUUCCUGAGAUUUUAUUCAAAGAUGUUAGGGGUCUCAUCCUUCUUUGUGAUGGCUAAGCUGCUGGCUCCCUUCUUCCCACCUGCCCAACCACCCCCCCCCCAUGUUGAAUGGAGGGAAACAUUCAACAUGCAGUAGGAGAGAAUGAGGUCAGCACUCAAGAGAGAAACAUGACUAAGAUAUUGAUUAAUUUUGCCAUGCUGGUAUUAGUCUAGCGCCAUUGAUCUCUUUCACGGUUACGUGAACUAAUCAAUCUCCCUCAGAUUGCUGAAUCUUCCAGUGGAACUGCUGACCAGUUGUGCUUAAUGCAGUCCCUCAACACCAGCUGGCUACACUAUGCUUCCUGGGAUGCUAAAUUGUUCACAUCCCUCCCUUCUUCAAAAAAAUCACCAGGGCCCCUGGUGGCAAGAGCACAGACUUUGCUAGUCAGGAGUCUGAGGUGGUCGUGCUUCUACUAAUGAGUGGGUCUCAUCACCUCUAGAUCUCCUGAUCUAAAUACCCAGUUCUCUGGGUUAUUGAGAUACUGAAACAUGACAAUGUAAACGAUAUAAAUGUGAAGCACUGUAGUGGGCCGGACACCGUAGCACUCGCUGAGAAUGUCCAGCCUCCUGCGUGUGGCUGCCCUCCUGCGUGUGGCUGCGUGUGGCUGCCUACAUGUGUCACACAUGUAGGUGACCUGCUGUGCCGUCCUCACUGUCCACUGCUCUCCUAACUAAACUGUUGUAUCCAGGCCAGCUUACUUGUCAUUCUUCAGCAAGCCAUACGUUUCCCCUCCAUUGGGCUUGCUUCCUGCCCUUUAUUCAUCUAUCGAAAUUUAGCCCACUAAAUUUAGUGAUUUUAAAAUCGCUAAAAUCAACCCCAUCUCUUCUAUGACUUUUUUUUUGACUGACUGGUCUAAAGUGAUCCCUUCCUUCUCCAAAUCCCUGGACCGAUCUACUGCCUGUAUCUUUAAUCUGGUAAUUAGCCCUAUAAUGUCUAGGUCUUUUCUGUUUUUCACUCAAACUGUUAUACAUUUCACAUUAUUUUUUAUUAUCAAACUCUUUUAUCCUAUUUUAAUCUAAUUGUAUGUUUCGGGUGAGCAAGCACACUUAUUUUUUUGGUUUCUCAGGGGGCUUACUCCCUAACGGUUACACAGUAAGAACAUUGGAGUUAGUCAUUCUUUAUAGGUCUGUUUAUUCUCAAUCUCCAUGGAAACCGUGAACUAUGUGAAAAUGUAGAUAUUUUGAACUGUUCUCUUUAUGACACAUAGAAUCUUACUCUAAUAGGCACCCUUGCAUGAGGAAAGGAGUCAGUCUUACAUUAUGCAGGAAAUAUCGAUCAAGUAGGACGAAAAGAACUAUAGAAAUUGCUUGGACCGACAAAGGUGAUUUUUGUUCUGAUUUUAACAUUUCCUUCAGAUGCUAUCUGUGAAAAACUGGAAUCCAGAGAUGAAAUGAAGUCUUCAGAGGAAUGGGGCUAUCCUUCCUCUUGAUUUGGAAGUACUGCUUCCUCAAGAAGCAUAUGAUUGCAAUAAUAUUUUAAUAGCCAGGUCAUCCUUACAGCCUUUCGUCAACUCAGUAGCCUUCAGCGAGUCUGUUAGCCCAUCCUGUCCAAGGGCCCUCCAGCUUCACAGUAGGGUCACACCUGCCUCCUGUUUAUGGUAAUUAUGGAUAAUAUGAUGUUAAAUUAAAUUUACAGGCAAUGUUGUACUUGAAAUUCAAGGUGACCCAGUUGUUGUGCAGAUGUAGUUUUAAGAAAGACAAAAGAACCAUUGACAAGAAGUAAUCUGUAUCAAAAGCAUAUUAAACAGCUUCUGGAAAAAAAAAAAAAAGACAUGUUUCCUAGGAUUUUGCAUUCUGUGACCCUUACUACUUUUGUUUUAGCAAUAAAACAUUUAGCCUGACUAUUCUAUAAAUAGAGUUUCAAUUUAUAUUGCCAGGUAAUACACAAUUUGAUGAGAGUGAAGAUGCUUUUCCUGAGAGGCUAGUUAAUUGGUUUAUAUAUUAUUGUCUUGUAUGUGUCUCAGUUUUUCCCUUGGCUUCCAAGCCUUUGAGGCGAACGUUACUUUCUCCAACAGAAUAUUCUCUUGGCUGACUUCAGCAAAGGAGUGACCAAGUCUGCUCUACAUUCAUUGGCAGUGAUGUUGCAGUAAUCGGGAUAAAAUAAGGUCUUUGGGAGAAUCUGGCUCAGACAAUAGGAGUUACAAAGUAAAAACACACAGAUCCUUACUGUUAGCCCUCUUUCUACAUGCUUGGAGCUGAACACCGUUUGACAAUCACAUGCCAGUGCAUUUUAUAAAACUGAGCAAUUUCCCUGCCUGCUUUAGAUAAGACCCUCCCCCCUUUGUAUUAUAUCAGUGACAUCCAAAAGGUUUUAGAAGCUACUUGGCAUCCUUCACAGGUAGUCUUAAAGCAGUUACUGAACUUCGUAACAACAUUGAAGCUCUUGGAUGUGGUGGUAAACUGUUCGGCUCUGGGGAUUUAAAAAAAAAACAUUACAGAUGCAGUUAUCAGCUCUCCUGUGAUCAAUCUUGUUAAAAUUCUGCUUCUUGUGUCCUGUUGAUACAUUAUGCAAACAACAGACAUAGAAUCCAAGUUGUUGGCUGCACUUUUUUUUUUAUCAUAAAACUAAGAAAAAUGUGAUUCUCUAACAAAAACUGUGGGUACUCUCUGAAAAUGAUAAUUAUAUUUUCAAGAUCCUAUUGCUUCUCCGAUGUUGAUGGACCUGAUAUUUGAUUUUCCCCUCUCAGUGGGACCGUAGGUGUGUUUCGUCUGUUCAAGUAUGAACCUUUUUUAAGAGAGGAAGAAAGAAUAUUACUGUACCCUUGGCCACUUCUAAAACAUGAUUGGCAUCUGCAUAACGCCGUUAGCCAAAAAAAAUGUGCCAUUGGUGCCAGACAAAUCUAAAUAAGAUUUUGAUGCAGGAUCAAUGGAAAUAUAACACGUAUAAGGAUGAACAACUUGUCCUGUAAGAUAAGUAUAAGCUCGUCUAUACUUUUUGUGGUUCUCUUCUGUGGUUUUCAUUUUUGUUCCUUUGCUCUUCUCAGUCAAGUUUUAUCUAAUCUUCCAAGUACUGUAUUUCUUCCCUGCUCAAAAGUGUGAACCUCUAGAGACUAGGUCUGUCUUACUAUCCCCAUCAUAUACCACGGGAUACAGUUGGGUGUAUUUGGUAAGGUAGGCAAAUGUAUGGGUGGGUGAGUAGAUGGAUAGGUAAAUGUAUGGAUGGAAGGGUAGACCAGGGCACCUCUUCCCUACCACCAUAAUUGCUGGAAUCCUAGAGACCUCAUGGUUGGUCUGUAAUCUCUGACAAUCUUGAAGUUUCAGGGUGGUCUCAAAGAACUGUAUUGCCUCUUGGAGUAUGCUUUGAAACUACAAGGCUUGGAGGAAGAAUCUGGAGUAUCUUAAAAGGAAUUAUAAAAGACUUAGACCAGCUCUGUUAAUUUUGCAUCAAUAGAAAGUCUUUGAUUUUUCCCAAAUGAAGUUAUAAUUUAGAAAUGGGGUGUGAUUUUAUGACAGCGGUAAUGAUUUCUGCAGAGACAACAGAUGUCCCUGUGGCUAUGAUUUAUAUGAUUUUCUUUUAAUAAAUAAGACCAAUCUCUUUUGUUUAACAAAGGUGCUAAUUAUAAAUAUUGGUUUAGCACUAAUUUUGCAUGUAAAUUCAUAGAGUGAGACAAAAAAAUAGAAGUCUUGUUUAUGUAAUUUGAAUUUUGGUUUACUCCACAGUUGAAUAAUUCAGUUGCCUGUGAGUAUUUUGUUUGUUUGUUUGUUUUCAAUGACUUUAUAUUGGUUUUUAUGUAAAUUUUGAUGGACUCUUGGUGGGCUUGGGGGUACUUCUGUUAGGGAUUUUAUGUAUGCUUUAACAGUUUGUUCCAGCAAUCGAGUAAACUUUAGUUCAACUUGGGACAUUUGAGUUGUCAAUUUGGAAAUCCUUUGCCAAGCCAUCACAGGAGUAUUGGCAAAGAUAAACUUUAAAAUAAAUUUCCUUAUAUUUUGUCUAGACUUCUAAGUACUAACUACAUCUGCUUUGCAGAGAAUCAGAUUAGGCCAGUGAGAGUCUUAUGUCUUCAUUAUGCCAUUAUUUGUAGUACAUAGUGUUUGGAUAAAAUAUAAUUUUUCUGAUAUCUCUAAGCAAGUUAUAAAUAAGCAAAACUUCUUAAGAAUGAUGGCAAUUUCGUUACCUUCACAUGAGAGCCUCCCAUGUGCUCUCAUCAAAAUAGCCAUUGCUGUAGUCAGCCAUAAAUUGCUGGGUAUUAAUUACAUACAUACUACAUAUUGAAUUGGCUACCCAAGUAUGAUUGACUUGAAUUUCUAGAUACUGAUUAAACAGUUAAAAUAGAUUAUUGGAAAAUGUAUUUCUAAGAUACAGAAUAGUUUAAGGAUUAUGUUAGAUAAUUUAAUCCCUUGAUAAAAGGUGUGUAAUAUUAAUAAUGUAUGAAAAGGCCUCAAAUAAAAAUGUUUCCAUUGCUGCCAGAAAGCGGGGGUAAAUGCUAGGUUUAUUUUAGUUUGUUAGCACACUAGGAUGUCCCCCUGAAUUGCAAAUAUAUUGAAGGCUACAACAACUCUGGUGAUACGGAGGUAAACAUAAGUGAAGUGUUUUAAGCGACUAAUCCGUUUUAAAGUAUACUUUAGCUUCUCAUAUUAAAUGCCAUUAUCGUCCCUAAGUUCACAAUGGCUGCCAAGAUUCCCGGGUCAAGUUGUGCUAAAAUCUUUUAAACAUCUUCUAGAGUGUAUUCUGUUUUCUACCUGACAGG